rnacentral:rRNA from 1 species
AAUCAACGCUGGCGGCGUGCCUCAGACAUGCAAGUCGAACGCGAAAGUUUCCUUCGGGAAGCAAGUAGAGUGGCGUCCGGGUGAGUAACACGUAGGUAAUCUACCUUUGGGUGGGGAAUAACAACCGGAAACGGUUGCUAAUACCGCAUAAUGCAGCGGCAUCACAUGAUGACAGUUGUUAACGCGGGGGAUCGCAAGACCUCGCGCCUAAAGAGGAGCCUGCGGCGGAUUAGCUAGUUGGUAGGGUAACGGCCUACCAAGGCAACGAUCCGUAGCCGGCCUGAGAGGGCGGUCGGCCACACUGACACUGAAAUACGGGUCAGACUCCUACGGGAGGCAGCAGUCGGGAAUUUUGGGCAAUGGGCGAAAGCCUGACCCAGCAACGCCGCGUGAAGGAUGAAAUCCCUCGGGAUGUAAACUUCGCAAGAACGGGAAGAAUAAGUAGAAGUUAAUACCUUCCA